CAAUAGCGUAUAUUUAAGUUGUUGCAGUUAAAAAGCUCGUAGUUGGAUUUUGGGUCGGGGGCACCGGUCCGCCGUUCCGGUGUGCACUGGUGGCCCCUUCCUUUCUGCCGGGGACGUGCGUCGCACUUAAUUGGGUGGCGUUCGGAGUCGGCGUUGUUACUUUGAAAAAAUUAGAGUGUUCAAAGCAAGCCAUCGCUCUGAAUACAUUAGCAUGGAAUAACAUGAUAGGACUCCGGUCUUAUUUUGUUGGUUUCCGAGACUGGAGUAAUGAUUAAGAGGGACAGUCGGGGGCAUCCGUAUUUCAUUGUCAGAGGUGAAAUUCCUGGAUUUAUGAAAGACGAACUUCUGCGAAAGCAUUUGCCAAGGAUGUUUUCAUUAA
rnacentral:rRNA from 1 species